GGGACAUGGAUUUGGGGCUCUGCAAAGAGGGGAGCUGAAUGUGAGACUGUUGAAUAAAGUGAGGUCUCUCAAAGGGAACAGAAGCAGAAAGGUUUCCCACUAGCACAGAUGAGUCUGGGCUCUCGAAGUCAGCCAGAAAAGCUCCUAUGAAACCCAAGAGAGCUCCUACACAGAGAAGGAGAAGCAAGCACUUAAGCUAGCAGUUAUUGCCUGCAAGUUGGUCACCAUGGAAACAACAACACAAGAAAAUCUCCCUCCACUACCUCAUUCUUUAAUAUCUGAAAUUUUAAAUUUACAAAAUUAAGAUACAAAGAAUCAAUCAUGAAGUUGAAGUUUACACGAGUGCUUUCUGCUGUUGCAUGUUGCUCAAGGUACAGUAAAACCUUAACAUUGGGUUGACGACUGUAACUUUAAAAAGUCUAUUUCCAUGCAUUUUCUUACUGAAUCUCUGUGAAAUAGCCAUCACUGGCAU
rnacentral:lncRNA from 1 species